AUGAACGCUAGCUACAGGCUUAACACAUGCAAGUCGAGGGGCAGCAUGGUCUUAGCUUGCUAAGGCCGAUGGCGACCGGCGCACGGGUGAGUAACACGUAUCCAACCUGCCGUCUACUCUUGGACAGCCUUCUGAAAGGAAGAUUAAUACAAGAUGGCAUCAUGAGUCCGCAUGUUCACAUGAUUAAAGGUAUUCCGGUAGACGAUGGGGAUGCGUUCCAUUAGAUAGUAGGCGGGGUAACGGCCCACCUAGUCUUCGAUGGAUAGGGGUUCUGAGAGGAAGGUCCCCCACAUUGGAACUGAGACACGGUCCAAACUCCUACGGGAGGCAGCAGUGAGGAAUAUUGGUCAAUGGGCGAGAGCCUGAACCAGCCAAGUAGCGUGAAGGAUGACUGCCCUAUGGGUUGUAAACUUCUUUUAUAAAGGAAUAAAGUCGGGUAUGGAUACCCGUUUGCAUGUACUUUAUGAAUAAGGAUCGGCUAACUCCGUGCCAGCAGCCGCGGUAAUACGGAGGAUCCGAGCGUUAUCCGGAUUUAUUGGGUUUAAAGGGAGCGUAGAUGGAUGUUUAAGUCAGUUGUGAAAGUUUGCGGCUCAACCGUAAAAUUGCAGUUGAUACUGGAUAUCUUGAGUGCAGUUGAGGCAGGCGGAAUUCGUGGUGUAGCGGUGAAAUGCUUAGAUAUCACGAAGAACUCCGAUUGCGAAGGCAGCCUGCUAAGCUGCAACUGACAUUGAGGCUCGAAAGUGUGGGUAUCAAACAGGAUUAGAUACCCUGGUAGUCCACACGGUAAACGAUGAAUACUCGCUGUUUGCGAGAUACUGCAAGCGGCCAAGCGAAAGCGUUAAGUAUUCCACCUGGGGAGUACGCCGGCAACGGUGAAACUCAAAGGAAUUGACGGGGGCCCGCACAAGCGGAGGAACAUGUGGUUUAAUUCGAUGAUACGCGAGGAACCUUACCCGGGCUUAAAUUGCAGAUGAAUUACGGUGAAAGCCGUAAGCCGCAAGGCAUCUGUGAAGGUGCUGCAUGGUUGUCGUCAGCUCGUGCCGUGAGGUGUCGGCUUAAGUGCCAUAACGAGCGCAACCCUUGUUGUCAGUUACUAACAGGUUCCGCUGAGGACUCUGACAAGACUGCCAUCGUAAGAUGUGAGGAAGGUGGGGAUGACGUCAAAUCAGCACGGCCCUUACGUCCGGGGCUACACACGUGUUACAAUGGGGGGUACAGAGGGCCGCUACCACGCGAGUGGAUGCCAAUCCCCAAAACCUCUCUCAGUUCGGACUGGAGUCUGCAACCCGACUCCACGAAGCUGGAUUCGCUAGUAAUCGCGCAUCAGCCACGGCGCGGUGAAUACGUUCCCGGGCCUUGUACACACCGCCCGUCAAGCCAUGGGAGCCGGGGGUACCUGAAGUGCGUAACCGCGAGGAGCGCCCUAGGGUAAAACUGGUGACUGGGGCU
rnacentral:rRNA from 1 species